CAUGACCACCAUGACCAUCAUGACCACCAUGACCACCAUGACCAUCAUGACCAUCAUGACCACCAUGACCACCAUGACCACCAUGACCAUCAAACGUAUCGCCAUUCUAGAUAAGAGGGUCAACACAAUGCUUCAUCUAUUCUAGAUAAGAGGGUCAACACAAUGCUUCAUCUAUUCUAGAUAAGAGGGUCAACACAAUGCUUCAUCCAUUCUAGAUAAGAGAGGUUCAACACAAUGAUUCAUCCAUUCUAGAUAAGAGGGGUUCAACACAAUGCUUCAUCUAUUCUAGAUAAGAGGGUCAACACAAUGCUUCAUCUAUUCUAGAUAAGAGGGUCAACACAAUGCUUCAUCCAUUCUAGAUAAGAGGGGUUCAACACAAUGCUUCAUCCAUUCUAGAUAAGAGGUUCAACACAAUGCUUCAUCCAUUCUAGAUAAGAGGGUCAACACAAUGAUUCAUCCAUUCUAGGAAGCCAGGUCAACACAAUGCUUCAUCCAUUCUAGAUAAGAGGGGUUCAACACAAUGCUUCAUCCAUUCUAGAUAAGAGGGGUCAACACAAUGCUUCAUCCAUUCUAGAUAAGAGGGGUUCAACACAA